rnacentral:rRNA from 1 species
AGGACGAACGCUGGCGGCGUGCUUAACACAUGCAAGUCGAACGGAAAGGCCCAGCUUGCUGGGUACUCGAGUGGCGAACGGGUGAGUAACACGUGGGUGAUCUGCCCCAAACUUCGGGAUAAGCCUGGGAAACUGGGUCUAAUACCGGAUAUGACCUGCUCCUGCAUGGGGGUUGGUGGAAAGCUUUGCGGUUUGGGAUGGGCCCGCGGCCUAUCAGCUUGUUGGUGGGGUAAUGGCCUACCAAGGCGACGACGGGUAGCCGACCUGAGAGGGUGUUCGGCCACACUGGGACUGAGACACGGCCCAGACUCCUACGGGAGGCAGCAGUGGGGAAUAUUGCACAAUGGGCGCAAGCCUGAUGCAGCGACGCCGCGUGAGGGAUGACGGCCUUCGGGUUGUAAACCUCUUUCGCCAGGGACGAAGCGCAAGUGACGGUACCUGGAGAAGAAGCACCGGCCAACUACGUG